rnacentral:rRNA from 1 species
UCUGGCUCAGGAUGAACGCUGGCGGCGUGCCUAAUACAUGCAAGUCGAACGAGGUAGCAAUACCGAGUGGCGAACGGGUGAGUAACACGUAGGUAACCUGCCCUUAAGCUUGGGAUACCCAGAGGAAACUUGGCUAAUACCGGAUAACAACAGAGAAGGCAUCUUCUUUGCUUGAAAGGCCCCUUCAAGGGUCACUUAAGGAUGGACCUGCGGCGCAUUAGCUAGUUGGUGAGAUAACAGCCCACCAAGGCGAGGAUGCGUAGCCGAACUGAGAGGUUGAUCGGCCACAUUGGAACUGAGACACGGUCCAAACUCCUACGGGAGGCAGCAGUAAGGAGUUUUCGGCAAUGGGGGAAACCCUGACCGAGCAACGCCGCGUGAGCGAUGACGGCCCUAUGGGUUGUAAAAAGCUCUGUUGUAAGCCAUGAAUGAUAGCUUGAGGAAAUGCAAGCUAUUUGACGACAGCUUACCAGAAAGCCACGGCUAACUACGUGCCAGCAGCUGC